UUAAGCAAAAAAGAGCGCAGGGUGGAUGCCUUGGCACUAAGAGCCGAAGAAAGACGUGAUAAGCUGCGAAAAGCUGCGGGGAGAUGCAAAUAAUCCUUGAUCCGCAGAUGUCUGAAUGGGGAAACCCGGUACGAAGAACUCGUAUCAUCCAUAUGCCAAUCCAUAACGUAUGGAGGGGAACCCGGUGAACUGAAACAUCUAAGUAGCCGGAGGAAGAGAAAGAAACAUCGAUUUUGUUAGUAGCGGCGAGCGAAAGCGAAAGAGGCCAAACCGGAGUGCGUGCACUCCGGGGUUCGGACCGCAUUUAAGAUUCAGUGAUUCUAGCAGAAAGGUUUGGGAAAGCCUGCCGGAGAGGGUGAAAGCCCCGUAAGCGAAAGGAGAGCUGACUGAGCGGGAUCCAGAGUACAUCGAGACACGAGAAACCUUGAUGGAAUGAGCGGGGACCACCCCGUAAGCCUAAAUACUACUUAGUGACCGAUAGCGCAUAGUACUGUGAAGGAAAGGUGAAAAGGACCCCGGGAGGGGAGUGAAAGAGAACCUGAAACCCUGUGUUUACAAGCUGUGGAAGUUCUUUAAAUGAACAACCGCGUACUUUUUGUAGAACGGUCCGGCGAGUUGCGGAUACUGGCAAGGUUAAGCACUUAAGGUGCGGAGCCGAAGGGAUACCAAGUCUUAACAGGGCGUUAAGUCAGUGUACGCAGACCCGAAACCGGGUGAUCUAUCCAUGUCCAGGUUGAAGUUGUCGUAAAAGACAAUGGAGGACCGAAGCCACAUCCGUUGAAAAGGGUGGGCAUGAGGUGUGGAUAGGGGAGAAAUUCCAAUCGAACCCGGAGAUAGCUGGUUCUCCUCGAAAUAGCUUUAGGGCUAGCCUCGAUUUAGUCUUAUGGAGGUAGAGCACUGAAUUUCCGCGGGGGCGUCAAAGCUUACCAAAGAAUAUCAAACUCCGAAUGCCAUGUAGAUGAUGAUCGGGAGUCAGACUGCACGAGAUAAGUUGGGCAGUCAAAAGGGAAAGAGCCCAGACCACCGGCUAAGGUCCCAAAGUGCGUGUUAAGUGGAAAAGGAUGUGGGAAUUCGAAGACAACUAGGAUGUUGGCUCAGAAGCAGCCAUACAUUCAAAGAGUGCGUAACAGCUCACUAGUCGAGAGUUCCUGCGCCGAAAAUGUCCGGGGCUGAAACACGACACCGAAGCCGUGGACUCGCAAUGCGAGUGGUAGAGGAGCAUUCUUAAAACCGACGAAGCUGUACCGGAAGGAGCAGUGGAGGGAUAAGAAGAGAGAAUGCCGGAAUGAGUAGCGAGAGAAAGGUGGGAAUCCUUUCGGCCGAAUAUCUAAGGUUUCCAGAGUAAAGCUGAUCUGCUCUGGGUAAGUCGGGGCCUAAGCACAGGUCGCAAGACGUAAGCGAUGGAUAACAGGUUUAGAUUCCUGUACCACGCAUUAUCAGAACUGUAGGGACGCAUGUGGAAAGCACGGGCCGGGAAUGGAAAAACCGGUACAAGCGGGGUAGGUGUACAAUAGGCAAAUCCGUUGUAUAAUCCGAAGACGUGAUGUGGAGCGAAAUAAAGUAGCAAAGCGUGUGAGCCAUGUGCCGAGAAAAGCUGCUAUUGUGUAAUGCGUGCCCGUACCGUAAACCGACACAGGUGGAUGAGGAGAGAAUCCUAAGGCCGACGGAAGAAGCAUUGUUAAGGAAUUCGGCAAAAUGACCCCGUAACUUCGGGAGAAGGGGUGCCUGCGAGAGCAGGCCGCAGAGAAUAGGCUCAAGCAACUGUUUAGCAAAAACACAGGUCUAUGCGAAACCGAAAGGUGAAGUAUAUGGGCUGACGCCUGCCCGGUGCUGGAAGGUUAAGAGGAGAGGUUAGCGUAAGCGAAGCUUUGAAUUUAAGCCCCAGUAAACGGCGGCCGUAACUAUAACGGUCCUAAGGUAGCGAAAUUCCUUGUCGGGUAAGUUCCGACC
rnacentral:rRNA from 1 species